rnacentral:rRNA from 1 species
CAGCAACCGCGGGAAUACGAAAGGGGCUAGCGUUGUUCGGAUUUACUGGGCGUAAAGCGCACGUAGGCGGAUCGAUCAGUCAGGGGUGAAAUCCCAGAGCUCAACUCUGGAACUGCCUUUGAUACUGUCGAUCUGGAGUAUGGAAGAGGUGAGUGGAAUUCCGAGUGUAGAGGUGAAAUUCGUAGAUAUUCGGAGGAACAUCAGUGGCGAAGGCGGCUCACUGGUCCAUUACUGACGCUGAGGUGCGAAAGCGUGGGGAGCAAACAGGAUUAGAUACCCCGGUAGUCCCUGUCUCUUAUAC